rnacentral:lncRNA from 1 species
GGCAUGGGCUACAUGCCCUCAGCCAGCAUGACCCGCCUGGCACGCUCCCGCACUGCAUCCCUCACCAGUGCCAGCUCGGUGGAUGGCAGCCGCCCACAGGCCUGCACCCACUCAGAGAGCAGCGAGGGGCUGGGCCAGGUCAACCACACCAUGGAGGUGUCCUGUUGAAGCCCUUGAUCCCGCUGACGACGCCCACGUCGAGGCCCCACCGCCAUCCUUGCGCCGGCUCAUGUUCCCUUUAGUUUAUUUUUGUGAGGGCAAAGGGGAGGAAAUGGGGUUCUGUUUGAAAAAAAUGAGGGGAUCUUAGAUGCUGCAGCAGAACAGUCUCCAGGUGUUUUAAGGGGCUCAGUCCUCCUCAUCCCAUCUCACUCUCCGUGGUAACUUAGCCAACUUGACCCCUCUCAUCCCACUCCCGGCGGCCCAGGCACAGAAGGGCAGGGCCAUAGGGAGGGAGAUUCGCUACGGAUCCAGGCCAUUCCUGGGUGAGCCCUUGGGCAGGCAUGUUUGGAGAUGAGAGAGGCUUCGAGAGGGUGGGUGCUGGGCCACAGGGGUGCGGGGCCAGCUCAGGCACUGGCGUGGGAGCCCUGGGAGACCCCUUCCCCCACCCUCCACCAAGCACACCUGUUUCUGUCUCAUAGCACAUGUGACAAUCAUCUGGACAACAGCCACAAGGGGGCGCUCGGACCAGGCAGCCACUUUCCUGGUGCUCUCUGGGCCCAGCUGGUGCUGUAGGGCCACGCAGGCAGGGGCGUCAAGGGGUUUCUCUGCCCAAGGAAGACAGAACAUGGAGAACCGUCAGGGCAGGAACCCCACAGACUGUCCCUUCCAGCCCACACUCUGCCACCUCCUGGCCCUGUCCCAAUUCUGAGCCAAGGCCUCCCCGAGGCAGAAGUUGCCUGGUCCUCUGUCCCCACAGUGACCUGACUGGGGGUGAGGGAGAAGGAGGAGAGAGCCCAUGUGUGGUGUGUGUGCCCCUGAGAACUUCGUGGUGACUGCCUUUGGGAGCCCGCAGGUGGCCAGAGGCAGGGGUAGCUGAGUUCCUGGAGACCCCUUUUUUGCCCCCAGGUUCCCCAGAGGGCAACGCCAUCAGUAGCAGUGUGGUGUUUCAGGCAGAGCUCUGGCCAGGCUGUGCCAGUGUGUCCCGGACGCAUCACUAAGGAAGAGAGAGUUUAUUUAGUCAACUGGCCCAAGGCAGCGAGGCUUCUACAGUCCCACACCCCAUAGCCGCCUGGGCUGGGGCUUACUGGGGGCUGAAGGUUCUGGACAUGAACAAGGGUCAGGUAGAAGAGAAAGGCUUCCCCUACACCCCAGCCUCCUGCUGUCCCCUGAAGCCCAGGACUGCGUUGUAUGCUUUCCAUCCACUCACCUUACCCCAUAGCAUCUUGCGGCCCAGAAACCAGAGCCAUUUGUCUCAGACCCUAAAUCAAUAAUCACAAACCCCAAAACGGGAGAGAGCAGUGAAAACAUGCAGGGCUGUGGACGGGGGAAGGGUUGUGGCGGGUGUUCUGAGGCUGAGAGGACACCUAUAUGCGUAUUUCCUCUACACACAUCACCCCCCUUCUAUAAUCUUAAGCCAUGACUAGCCUGGUGGCGUGUUAGUUUCUGCCCAGUUCUACCCCCUCAUGUGCUUCUUCUGAAUACUGAAUGUGACUGUUUGAAAGCUGGUAGAAUUCAUCCCUCUUACUGUAGAUAACACUGCAAAUCUUGGAAUUUUGUUUUUUGCUGUUUCCAGAUGUAUCUAUAAAUAUCUAUACAUUAUAUGUGUGUGUGUGUGUGUGUGUGUGUGUGUACAUCGGGUCCUCCCAUGUGUGGUGUUCUUCUGGAGGUUGUCUCUUUGGUCAAGGUGAACUUUUAAUGUUUAUUAUUUUCUUCUCCGCACAAAGUAAAGAGCCUAAUUUUGUGUAUUCUGGUGGCUGCUGUCAUGAGAUGAUAAAAUGUAAAACAAAACUCUAGUCAACGUAGAAAGAGUUAACUGUGCUGAAAAACUAAUAAAGAACCUAAGAAGAAUUCCAGUGUGGUGAUGCCAUGCCCAUCAUGGGAGGCUUUUGGAGAAACAGAAUGUUUGGGCAGGGGCUGCUGGUGCUGCUUGGGUUUUGGGUUGAGGGUGCUAGGAGAGGAUGGUCUCCACCCAUCUUUCUAUUUCCAGUACACGUCACAUUAUUUUACCGGUGAGAUGAGAAUGUCACAAACAUUAAAAGCCUUAUGUGCUC